GGCGUGCUUAACACAUGCAAGUCGAACGAUGAACCUUCUUCGGGAGGGGAUUAGUGGCGAACGGGUGAGUAACACGUGGGCAAUCUGCCCUUCACUCUGGGACAAGCCCUGGAAACGGGGUCUAAUACCGGAUACGACCUCCGACCGCAUGGUCUGGUGGUGGAAAGCUCCGGCGGUGAAGGAUGAGCCCGCGGCCUAUCAGCUUGUUGGUGGGGUGAUGGCCUACCAAGGCGACGACGGGUAGCCGGCCUGAGAGGGCGACCGGCCACACUGGGACUGAGACACGGCCCAGACUCCUACGGGAGGCAGCAGUGGGGAAUAUUGCACAAUGGGCGAAAGCCUGAUGCAGCGACGCCGCGUGAGGGAUGACGGCCUUCGGGUUGUAAACCUCUUUCAGCAGGGAAGAAGCGAGAGUGACGGUACCUGCAGAAGAAGCGCCGGCUAACUACGUGCCAGCAGCCGCGGUAAUACGUAGGGCGCAAGCGUUGUCCGGAAUUAUUGGGCGUAAAGAGCUCGUAGGCGGCUUGUCACGUCGGAUGUGAAAGCCCGGGGCUUAACCCCGGGUCUGCAUUCGAUACGGGCAGGCUAGAGUUCGGUAGGGGAGAUCGGAAUUCCUGGUGUAGCGGUGAAAUGCGCAGAUAUCAGGAGGAACACCGGUGGCGAAGGCGGAUCUCUGGGCCGAUACUGACGCUGAGGAGCGAAAGCGUGGGGAGCGA
rnacentral:rRNA from 1 species